GUGAGUACUACGUAAGAACCUACCUUCUGGAAAUGACUAACUAUUGGAAACGAUAGCUAAUACAUUAUA
rnacentral:rRNA from 1 species